GUACUUCCUCAUUCUGGCUCUUCCUCCUCCGACUUGGUUUCUCUCAAGAACCUUGAAAUACCUUUUGGUAUUUCAAGACUCCCCCACACAAAAACAAACCCUAAUCUCAAUCUCCUCAGCCCUAUCUUUCUCUACAAUCCUAAAACAAAACCAAUUUCUUUCUUUUCCGGAUAUACACAUAUAAUCAGGUUAUAGAAUCAAUGUGAAUAUGAGCGGUUGGAUUAUCCUUGUAAAUAAUUUACUCAUUCUCUUGUACUUCAGAUUAUAAUAAGCUGGAUUUAAUGGAGGCUAACAUUUGUGACAUUAAUCACUUGGACGCCGAUGUCCUUUUGCCUCCUCGGAAGCGCCUGUUAGCAGGUUUUAAGAAACAGGCUUCGAAUGCAAAUGCCACGUCAGACCGGCCAAUAACUUCUUCUUCCACUUCAUCUCCUUCACCACCUUCACCAUCAUCUGCUACUUCAUCAAGUGAUGUUGAUGCUCAUCUUAAUAACUUAUUGAGUUCCCGUUUGAAUAAUCCUAACCUUUCUCCAGAGGAGAUUUUCGAGGCCUCGAGAACAGCAGCUAUUACCGCCGCUAAGGCUGCUGAAGCUGCCAGAGCUGCGGCAGAGGAGAAGGCUGCAAUUGCAGCUAGCUAUCGCUGCAGCUAAGAGUGCGUUGGACAUAGCUACAUUUUCUGAUGAUGCCGUUAGCAAGGAUAGAUACCUUAAAAAGAAUAAGAUUAAGAAGCAUGUCCCAGUUCAAGUCUUAUACAAUAAACACCAACCGAUUGAGAAUUCUAGGGUAGAUGAAGAUUUAGCCCAAAGGUUGCAUAGAGCAAUCGAUAGUUCUACGAGAAUCUCAUAAGGUUCACCAAUAUCUGAAUGGAAAGGCCAUCAACACAAAAGGCCUAAGAGCUUGCCAACUCUUGAGAGCACAAAGGUUCCCAAUCGGGGUAUUGUGUCGAGUGGAAGCCCCUCUUCCAAAUUCUAUGGAAGUACUAUAGCAGCCAAAAUCGAUUCUGAUGACUUGGUUAGGGAGCAUGUGAAGGUAGCCAAUGACGGAAAAUCGGGGCAGUCGGUGUUGGACAAUGGUGAAGCAGAGUCAGGUUAUUCAAUGGAGAAAGCUUGUGAAGAUGCAUAUCCUUCCAGUAACAAGAGGGGAACAGUAAAGCUCAAGAAUUUGCCCUUCAGUGUUUGUUCCUACAGGGAUCGAGUGAAUCACAAGGAAGAGAUGAUUACUAAGAGCUCCCCGUUGAUGGAAAAGAAAAUGGGUACACCACUGUGGAAAUGCCAGGAUUUCAAGGCCCCUGCAUGUAUCGAACAAAGCGAAGUCAUGCAAUCGUAAUGAUCGGUUCCGUUCUCGUACCAUUUGGCUUCAAGGUUAGAGCUACAAUAGCUGAGAGUAGGAUUCACAAUUCUCUUCUUAGAAAUGAGUUUUACUCCACUUUUAUCUUUUCUGCUUAUCUCUGGUUUUGUAAGGAAGUUGAAUUUGACAGAAUGUACAUUUGAAUGCUCCAAUUGCUUGCCUGGAAAUAGAAUAACACCCAAUAAUUGAAGUUGAGAUAAAGAGGAAUGCUAUGCAAUAAGAAUUAGAUGGCUCUUUCCUGGUUAUUUUUUGCAUAUCCAUCCGGCUUUCUGGGAUGAUACAUAGAUGUAC